rnacentral:rRNA from 1 species
GGAGUCUGGGCCGUAUCUCAGUCCCAAUGUGGCCGUUCAACCUCUCAGUCCGGCUACUGAUCGCAGUCUUGGUAGGCCGUUACCCUGCCAACUAACUAAUCAGAUAUGAGCCCAUCUUUCAGCGGAUUGCUCCUUUGGUACAUCGAAGAUGCCUUCAACGUACAUUAUGCGGUAUUAGCAGUCGUUUCCAACUGUUGUCCCCCU